rnacentral:rRNA from 1 species
AGCAGCCGCGGUAAUUCCAGCUCCAAUAGCGUAUAUUAAAGUUGUUGCAGUUAAAAAGCUCGUAGUUGAAUUUCGGGGUUCUACCGUUGGUCAGGCUAUUGUCUGCACUGGUGUGUAGAAUUUCUACCUUCUGGGGAACUAUCAUGUUAUUAAUUUAGCGUGGUAGGAAACCAGGACCUUUACCUUGAAAAAAUUAGAGUGUUCAAAGCAGGCUUAUGCCUGAAUACAUUAGCAUGGAAUAAUAAAAUAGGACGGUGGUCCUGUUUUGUUGGUUUCUGAAUCACCGUAAUGAUUAAUAGGGAUAGUUGGGGGCAUUAGUAUUCAAUUGUCAGAGGUGAAAUUCUUGGAUUUAU